rnacentral:rRNA from 1 species
UGGGGAAUCUUGCACAAUGGGGGCAACCCUGAUGCAGCGACGCCGCGUGAGCGAUGAAGCCCUUCGGGGUGUAAAGCUCUUUCGGCAGGGAAGAUGGUGACGGUACCUGCAGAAGCAGCUGCGGCUAACUACGUGCCAGCAGCCGCGGUAAUACGUAGGCAGCGAGCGUUGUUCGGAGUUACUGGGCGUAAAGGGUGUGUAGGCGGCCUAUUAAGUUUGGUGUGAAAUCUCCCGGCUCAACCGGGAGGGUGCGCCGAAAACUGGGAGGCUAGAGUGCGGGAUGGGAGAGUGGAAUUCCUGGUGUAGCGGUGAAAUGCGUAGAUAUCAGGAGGAACACCGGUGGUGCAGACGGCUCUCUGGACCGUAACUGACGCUGAGACACGAAAGCGUGGGUAGCAAACA